GCAGACACAUUCCAGCCAAUCAGCAGCAGACCCUCCCUCCUAGACCCUCCCACCUCCUGGACAGCAUCCAUUUUACAUUCAUUGUGAAGCUGCAUUCUUAGUGAGCUGUCCAGGAGCUGGGAGGGUCUGGGAGGGAGGGUCUGCUGCUGAUUGGCUGGAAUGUGUCUG
rnacentral:miRNA from 1 species